rnacentral:rRNA from 1 species
AGUGAACGCUGGCGGUAGGCCUAACACAUGCAAGUCGAACGGCAGCACAGUAAGAGCUUGCCCUUACGGGUGGCGAGUGGCGGACGGGUGAGGAAUACAUCGGAAUCUACUUUUUCGUGGGGGAUAACGUAGGGAAACUUACGCUAAUACCGCAUACGACCUACGGGUGAAAGCAGGGGAUCUUCGGACCUUGCGCGAUUGAAUGAGCCGAUGUCGGAUUAGCUAGUUGGCGGGGUAAAGGCCCACCAAGGCGACGAUCCGUAGCUGGUCUGAGAGGAUGAUCAGCCACACUGGAACUGAGACACGGUCCAGACUCCUACGGGAGGAAGCAGUGGGGAAUAUUGGACAAUGGGCGCAAGCCUGAUCCAGCCAUACCGCGUGGGUGAAGAAGGCCUUCGGGUUGUAAAGCCCUUUUGUUGGGAAAGAAAAGCAGCAGGUUAAUACCCCGCUGUUCUGACGGUACCCAAAGAAUAAGCACCGGCUAACUUCGUG